AAAAUCGAAAAGUUUUCCUGCCGGAGAAGAAAAGGUAAACAAACGGUCAGUCCGGGAAGAUUUUCAGUCAAAGUUUUGAUAAUUUCUACUUUUUUGGGAAGAUGGACCCGACGUCUCUCUUCUUUACGAAGCUGAAAAAGCUGGCGGUGACUCUGGAGUCAGAAACUACGAAGCUUCAGCGCGCGUUUGAGACCCGAAAACAGGACGGUGACAGCGAAACCGCGGCCAAAGCUCUGCGAGCGUAUCACGAGCUGAACUGUGACGUCAGGAGCCUGAAGGGGCAGAUCCAGGGUCAGCUCGCUCAGCAGAAA